UACAGAGGUCCCAAGCGUUGUUCGGAUUCACUGGGCGUAAAGGGUGCGUAGGCGGCCGGGUAAGUCUGAUGUGAAAUCUCCGAGCCUAACUCGGAAACUGCAUCGGAUACUCUUCGGCUAGAGGAUUGGAAGGGAGACUGGAAUUCUCGGUGUAGCAGUGAAAUGCGUAGAUAUCGAGAGGAACACCAGUGGCGAAGGCGAGUCUCUGGACAGUUCCUGACGCUGAGGCACGAAGGCCAGGGGAGCAAACGGG
rnacentral:rRNA from 1 species